rnacentral:tRNA from 1 species
CGCGGGAUGGAGCAGUCUGGUAGCUCGUCGGGCUCAUAACCCGAAGGUCGUUGGUUCGAAUCCGGCUCCCGUAACCA